GAGGGGGGGCUCUGAGGUCCCUGGGGAAAUAAAUCCUAGCACCGCCAGUGCACAUUGCAGCACAUCAUGUGCUUUGUUUUGGAUGUGAAUGCUUGAUUCCACGAGGCGCCUGCGUAAAAUGAAUUGAACAUGAG